rnacentral:rRNA from 1 species
UACGUAGGGGUGCGAGCGUUGUCCGGAAUUAUUGGGCGUAAAGGGCUCGUAGGCGGUCUGUCGCGUCGGGAGUGAAAACACGGGGCUUAACCCCGUGCCUGCUUCCGAUACGGGCAGACUAGAGGUAUGCAGGGGAGAACGGAAUUCCUGGUGUAGCGGUGAAAUGCGCAGAUAUCAGGAGGAACACCGGUGGCGAAGGCGGUUCUCUGGGCAUUACCUGACGCUGAGGUGCGAAGGUAUGGGGAGCGAAUAGG